UACGUAGGGGGCUAGCGUUGUCCGGAAUCAUUGGGCGUAAAGCGCACGUAGGCGGACUCUUAAGUCAGGGGUGAAAUCCUGGAGCUCAACUCCAGAACUGCCUUUGAUACUGGGAGUCUUGAGUUCGGGAGAGGUGAGUGGAACUGCGAGUGUAGAGGUGAAAUUCGUAGAUAUUCGCAAGAACACCAGUGGCGAAGGCGGCUCACUGGCCCGGUACUGACGCUGAGGCACGAAAGCGUGGGGAGCAAACAGG
rnacentral:rRNA from 1 species